CGACACCGUUGCAACACCUCCCAUCACCACCUGCUCCUAAUCCGGUCAGAUGGCGCACCAUAUUGCCAGGGAUCUGCUCUCCUCCACCAUGGUUCAAAGCUCCGAGGUGACGACUAUUCCCCGACGGAUGAAUUUAGCUCCAACGAGUGGCAUAGAUCCCAGGUUUCAAGCCACCACUGCGCGGAUGUACCACGAUCCGCCAAUUGUUUUCCCUGAUGGUGCCCCUACCAUAUCUACGAGUAGUACAAAUUGUGAAAAAAAGCCGAGAAGCUGCGGAUGACGCUGAAGGUACAGAGGAGGAGGAAGAACUGCAAUACCUGUGGAUGUUGCCAACGUUUCUCAUUGUAGCUGAGUUGAUUUGGAAUGAAGCCGUGUAGUUUGAAUUCAGAUGACGCAUCAUGCAUUGUAAUUCCCUUACCUCAAUGGAUCCAUGUCUAUGAAUUUGUUAAUUAAAUGCACUAAGCACCAUUGCCGUCAAGUACUAUUGAUUUUCUUUGCA